GCGGUCCGCUGUCUCCGUGACUGCCAGCAGGCAGCUGGGCCUCCACCCGGAAGCGGAGUAAGAGGGCCCGCCCGCUCCGCCCUGCUGCGCCCUCGGGGAAAGCUGGUGAAACAAGUUUGGCUAAAAGAAAAACUCUCUGGCCGGACCGGAAGUCACUCUCACGUCCCAUUCCUGUCAGGCAGAGAUCCAGGAGACUAACUGGUAAGAAUUCUUACCUUGUGCUGGCUGUGUCAGAGAUCCCAGGAUCUCUCAGCUGCAGUGGCCCUGGAGUGAGCAGUGUACAACCAUUGACAUCCCAUCCUUGUCAGCAAAACUGUAGUGCCUUCGGAACAUGAUCUUGUCUCCUGGCCACAUUUGAGCUUUCCAGAAGGAGCAGAGUAGCAUCAGAUUUGCCUUGCCUUAGGGGCUUUCCCUGAGAAGCCCAGGACUCUGGCUCACACUGUGGUGGCUGUACUUACCCAUUUUCUUCUGAAAUUUGGCAAAGAAAUACUAAAAGAUGCUCCAGUGGAUAAAUCUGGGUACCAAACAUAUUUCUUCCUGCUCCAAUGGUUCUUUAGGCCGUAAUCACUGCAUUCCUGGGAUCUCAUUCAAUGUUGGCUCGCUCCUGCCUUCUAUACAGCCACUAGCACAGAAGCUGCCCAAGACUGGAGGAACAUAACAUGGGAAGAAAAUGAGUGCAGUAAGAGAAGCUUAAGGGAAAACAAAAAUAAAACAAGGGAAAUAAAGGACUCCAGGACCUCUUAUUGUCUUCUCUUUUGGAACCAGAAGCCACCCUGUAUGGGGCACCUGAAUCUUGCCACUGACCUUCCUGUACCAGGCUCAAUCUCUCUCUCCGACCCUCUCAUCAUUUAAGGAAAUCCCACCUGAGAGGUCAGCUUCUCCCUAUCUCACUAUUUUGAUGCAGAAACCUUUCAGGAUCACGAAAGGACUCCUGUCACAUCUCACAUAGACCUCAUCUGUGUUGUCUCAAGUAAAUUUCAACUCAGAAGGGGAGCCUUUGCUGUAAAUGUGAAGAGUGGAGCCAAAUGGAUGCUGAGUCCCCUCCCCACCUGGGGCUGUUUGCACUUCACUGAACCAGCUCACAUUUGUGUCAAGUGAUGACAAAGCCUGAUGGAGAACUUCCUGCAGCUACUCCCCAUUCCCAAUUAUUAUUCCAAAGAGAUGCUGCUGAGGAAAAGCAAAGAUCUGACCUGAUGUAGCAAGUUGCCACUCAGUCCUCAUUAUGAAAACUUGCUAGUAAAUAAUGCAUCCCUUCUGGAAUUUCACUUCACAUUUGCAAAGGUCAGAGGCAGCUUAUAUCAAAAAGCAUUCUUUUAAAAAAGCGUAAUAUUUACCAUGUAGUUUUCACCUUGCGCUCCCGACCAAAUAAAUUUUUUAUAAUAUAACAUUUACUUGGUAUCAUAUUGUAAGGCACCCUUGUCAGUUUCCUUAUUGCUUAUGUUAGCAAACUCAUGGAUGAUAAUCUUGAAAAGAAAAUUCCCAUACUAUGUAUUCAGCAGCCUCUACUUUUCUCUCUGAGAUCUGUGAAGAGUGCAGGUGACCAAACAGCUCCGCUGGGAGUCCCCAGGCUGGUUUCUAGAGACUUUACUAGGCAAGUCACACCACAGUCAGGAUAUGACUCCUGGCCUUGUAGCCUUAGAAACUAGAUUACCAUGACUGAAGACAGAGCCAUUUCUCUGGGGGUAGAGGCACUGUAACUAAGUUCACAAGACUGAUAUCUAACAGCAGAAUAUUCACGUACAGCAAGAAACAGAUCUGUCCCAGGGAAUAGGAGUAUGUGCACCUGCAACUCUAGGCCAUUGCCUCAAGUCCAAUUCACUGAUUUAUAACUAGAAACAGCUGUCAGAGCCAUCCAUAUAUUUUCGAGUAUAUGAAUAAUGCAUUCUCCUCCUAUGAGUUAAGCUACCUUGGGAAAAAAAUAAUCAGAACAAGGGAAGUCUGAUUGGUGGGAUGCUUCAUAGUAUCCCCUGGUGUAUCUGUCUCGCAAGAAGGAUGUGCACCAGCAAAGGCACUGGAAUCACUGAUAGCUACAACCUGCUACAUCCACUGCCCCCUAAGUGAUGGCCUUGCCACUUGGUCAGAAUACUCUACCCAGACUGACACAACUUACUACAUCCAUCUGCACUUGAGGGACAAAAAUUCCCUGACUGCUGGACAGAAUCUGGAUAGGUAUUUGUCUUUUUUUUUUUCUAUUUUCAUUAAUAAUACCUCU